AUUGAACGCUGGCGGCAGGCUUAACACAUGCAAGUCGAACGGGCCCUUCGGGGUCAGUGGCAGACGGGUGAGUAACGCGUGGGAACGUGCCCUUCAGUUCGGGAUAACCCAGGGAAACUUGGGCUAAUACCGGAUACGUGCGAGAGCAGAAAGAUUUAUCGCUGAAGGAUCGGCCCGCGUCUGAUUAGCUGGUUGGUAGGGUAAUGGCCUACCAAGGCGACGAUCAGUAGCUGGUCUGAGAGGAUGAUCAGCCACAUUGGGACUGAGACACGGCCCAAACUCCUACGGGAGGCAGCAGUGGGGAAUAUUGGACAAUGGGCGCAAGCCUGAUCCAGCCAUGCCGCGUGAGUGAUGAAGGCCUUAGGGUUGUAAAGCUCUUUCGGCGGGGACGAUAAUGACGGUACCCGCAGAAGAAGCCCCGGCUAACUUCGUGCCAGCCGCCGCGGUAAGAC
rnacentral:rRNA from 1 species